rnacentral:rRNA from 1 species
GACGAACGCUGGCGGCGUGCUUAACACAUGCAAGUCGAACGGAAAGGCCCUGCUUUUGUGGGGUGCUCGAGUGGCGAACGGGUGAGUAACACGUGAGUAACCUGCCCUUGACUUUGGGAUAACUUCAGGAAACUGGGGCUAAUACCGGAUAGGAGCUCCUGCUGCAUGGUGGGGGUUGGAAAGUUUCGGCGGUUGGGGAUGGACUCGCGGCUUAUCAGCUUGUUGGUGGGGUAGUGGCUUACCAAGGCUUUGACGGGUAGCCGGCCUGAGAGGGUGACCGGCCACAUUGGGACUGAGAUACGGCCCAGACUCCUACGGGAGGCAGAAGUGGGGAGUAUUGCACAAUGGGCGGGAGCCUGAUGCAGCAACGCCGCGUGCGGGAUGACGGCCUUCGGGUUGUAAACCGCUUUCGCCUGUGACGAAGCGUGAGUGACGGUAAUGGGUAAAGAAGCACCGGCUAACUACGUG